rnacentral:lncRNA from 1 species
AAGACCACCAGCCGCCAGUGACCAGGGCUGACAACUUGCCCAGACCACAAGCCUCCCUGUUGAGAAAGCAAGCGGACUCACAGUUUUUCAGUGUCUCAGGGAGCCUGCGGCAGUGAUCCAGUUCCUUCAAAAGGUCUGUGGAUUCUCUUGGCUUUCCUGGUAUGUUCCUGUGGUAGUUCUUGGAGCAAAAGUUCACAAUGUGAGUCUCCACACACUGCUGUGUCCAUCUGAGCGGGAGCUACACGCUAGUCCUGUCUCCUAUCCACCAUACUAAUCUCUC